CCCACCAUCUCUGCUCACAACCACCAUCAUAAACACAAUUGAACCUCUAAUUUUUAUCUCUCUCAACCUUGUCAUCUUAUCUUAUCAAAAACAGUAAACCUAGAAGCUAGGUUUGAGAUGGAUAGAUUUAGGGCUAUCACUUACAGCUGGAGAAAACAUCAAUUGCAGGGAAGAAUUGAAGAGGGGAAACGUCUUAAAAGCAUUGUUGAAGACGAAAUUACAGGUGAAAGAGCUAUGAGAGAAGGUCAAUACAAUAAGGAAAUAUGUACCUCCUGACACCAACGAUAAAUCCUCGAAGAACAGAAAAUAGAUGGAGUGAUUAUAUGAUAGUUGAGGUAAAGUCAUUUAGACCUUAGUUUUUUGAAUAUAUUAAUUAGAUUCAUAACUAAAUAAUGUAUAUGGUAUUGGGAUAUAUCCUUGUUCUCUGAUCAGAUAUUUACGGGAAAUUUGUUACCUUAGAUCAGAUGAAAAUUUAGUAUUUCAUGUUUAGCAUUUCCAUCUAUGGGUCAUUAUUCCCUUGUAAGCCUUUGGGUUGGGUGCAGUAUUGGGUUGAAUAACUUGACCCUUCCAAAAAUUAUUAGUAUACUACGAAAUGUCUUGGUUUGAACUAUACCAUUUGUGUAGUGAGUUUCAUUUCCAAUGUGGUUU